rnacentral:rRNA from 1 species
AGUCGAACGAUGAAGCCCAGCUUGCUGGGUGGAUUAGUGGCGAACGGGUGAGUAACACGUGAGUAACCUGCCCUUGACUCUGGGAUAAGCGUUGGAAACGACGUCUAAUACCGGAUACGAGCUUCCACCGCAUGGUGAGUUGCUGGAAAGAAUUUUGGUCAAGGAUGGACUCGCGGCCUAUCAGCUUGUUGGUGAGGUAAUGGCUCACCAAGGCGACGACGGGUAGCCGGCCUGAGAGGGUGACCGGCCACACUGGGACUGAGACACGGCCCAGACUCCUACGGGAGGCAGCAGUGGGGAAUAUUGCACAAUGGGCGAAAGCCUGAUGCAGCAACGCCGCGUGAGGGACGACGGCCUUCGGGUUGUAAACCUCUUUUAGCAGGGAAGAAGCGAAAGUGACGGUACCUGCAGAAAAAGCACCGGCUAACUACGUGCCAGCAGCCGCGGUAAUACGUAGGGUGCAAGCGUUGUCCGGAAUUAUUGGGCGUAAAGAGCUCGUAGGCGGUUUGUCGCGUCUGCUGUGAAAUCCCGAGGCUCAACCUCGGGUCUGCAGUGGGUACGGGCAGACUAGAGUGCGGUAGGGGAGAUUGGAAUUCCUGGUGUAGCGGUGGAAUGCGCAGAUAUCAGGAGGAACACCGAUGGCGAAGGCAGAUCUCUGGGCCGCUACUGACGCUGAGGAGCGAAAGGGUGGGGAGCAAACAGGCUUAGAUACCCUGGUAGUCCACCCCGUAAACGUUGGGCGCUAGAUGUGGGGACCAUUCCACGGUUUCCGUGUCGUAGCUAACGCAUUAAGCGCCCCGCCUGGGGAGUACGGCCGCAAGGCUAAAACUCAAAGGAAUUGACGGGGGCCCGCACAAGCGGCGGAGCAUGCGGAUUAAUUCGAUGCAACGCGAAGAACCUUACCAAGGCUUGACAUAUACGAGAACGGGCCAGAAAUGGUCAACUCUUUGGACACUYGUAAACAGGUGGUGCAUGGUUGUCGUCAGCUCGUGUCGUGAGAUGUUGGGUUAAGUCCCGCAACGAGCGCAACCCUCGUUCUAUGUUGCCAGCACGUAAUGGUGGGAACUCAUGGGAUACUGCCGGGGUCAACUCGGAGGAAGGUGGGGACGACGUCAAAUCAUCAUGCCCCUUAUGUCUUGGGCUUCACGCAUGCUACAAUGGCCAGUACAAAGGGCUGCAAUACCGUAAGGUGGAGCGAAUCCCAAAAAGCUGGUCCCAGUUCGGAUUGAGGUCUGCAACUCGACCUCAUGAAGUCGGAGUCGCUAGUAAUCGCAGAUCAGCAACGCUGCGGUGAAUACGUUCCCGGGCCUUGUACACACCGCCCGUCAAGUCAUGAAAGUCGGUAACACCCGAAGCCAGUGGCCUAACCGCAAGGA